GACGUAGGGUGCAAGCGUUGUCCGGAUUUAUUGGGCGUAAAGAGCUCGUAGGCGGCUUGUUGCGUCGACUGUGAAAACCCGCGGCUUAACCGCGGGCUUGCAGUUGAUACGGGCAGGCUAGAGUUCGGUAGGGGAGACUGGAAUUCCUGGUGUAGCGGUGAAAUGCGCAGAUAUCAGGAGGAACACCGAUUGCGAAGGCAGCUCGCUGGGACGUGACUGACGCUGAGACGCGAAAGCGUGGGGAGCAAACAGG
rnacentral:rRNA from 1 species